rnacentral:ncRNA from 2 species
UUCUUAUCAAGAGCAGGCGGAGGGACGAGCCCAAUGAAGCCCGGCAACCGACUUAUUUUAUAAGCACGGUGCUAAUUCUUGCAGCAAAAGCUGAAAGAUGAGAA